rnacentral:rRNA from 1 species
CCUACGGGGGGCAGCAGUGGGGAAUUUUGGACAAUGGGCGCAAGCCUGAUCCAGCUAUUCCGCGUGUGGGAUGAAGGCCCUCGGGUUGUAAACCACUUUUGUAGAGAACGAAAAGACACCUUUUAAUAAAGGGUGUUGCUGACGGUACUCUAAGAAUAAGCACCGGCUAACUACGUGCCAGCAGCCGCGGUAAUACGUAGGGUGCGAGCGUUAAUCGGAAUUACUGGGCGUAAAGGGUGCGUAGGCGGAUUUUUAAGUCAGCGGUAAAAUGUCCGGGCUCAACCCGGGCCGGCCGUUGAAACUGGGGAUCUUGAGUGGGCGAGAAGUAUGCGGAAUGCGUGGUGUAGCGGUGAAAUGCAUAGAUAUCACGCAGAACUCCGAUUGCGAAGGCAGCAUACCGGCGCCCGACUGACGCUGAGGCACGAAAGCGUGGGGAUCGAACAGGAUUAGAUACCCGAGUAGUC